GGUCCAGACUUUGAUUCUGGCUCAGGAUGAACGCUAGCUACAGGCUUAACACAUGCAAGUCGAGGGGAAACGACAUCGAAAGCUUGCUUUUGAUGGGCGUCGACCGGCGCACGGGUGAGUAACACGUAUCCAACCUGCCCACCACUUGGGGAUAACCUUGCGAAAGUAAGACUAAUACCCAAUGACACCCCACGAAGGCGUCCGAAUGGGAUUAAAGAUUUAUCGGUGAUGGAUGGGGAUGCGUCUGAUUAGCUUGUUGGCGGGGUAACGGCCCACCAAGGCAACGAUCAGUAGGGGUUCUGAGAGGAAGGUCCCCCACAUUGGAACUGAGACACGGUCCAAACUCCUACGGGAGGCAGCAGUGAGGAAUAUUGGUCAAUGGGCGAGAGCCUGAACCAGCCAAGUAGCGUGCAGGAUGACGGCCCUAUGGGUUGUAAACUGCUUUUAUAAGGGAAUAAAGUGAGUCUCGUGAGACUUUUUGCAUGUACCUUAUGAAUAAGGACCGGCUAAUUCCGUGCCAGCAGCCGCGGUAAUACGGAAGGUCCGGGCGUUAUCCGGAUUUAUUGGGUUUAAAGGGAGCGUAGGCCGGAGAUUAAGCGUGUUGUGAAAUGUAGUGGCUCAACCUCUGCACUGCAGCGCGAACUGGUCUUCUUGAGUACGCACAACGUGGGCGGAAUUCGUGGUGUAGCGGUGAAAUGCUUAGAUAUCACGAAGAACUCCGAUUGCGAAGGCAGUUCACGGGAGCGCAACUGACGCUGAAGCUCGAAAGUGCGGGUAUCGAACAGGAUUAGAUACCCUGGUAGUCCGCACGGUAAACGAUGGAUGCCCGCUGUUGGCCUGAAUAGGUCAGCGGCCAAGCGAAAGCAUUAAGCAUCCCACCUGGGGAGUACGCCGGCAAGGGUGCAACUCAAAGGAAUUGACGG
rnacentral:rRNA from 1 species